GGGUGAUUAGCUCAGCUGGGAGAGCACCUCCCUUACAAGGACAGUUGGUAGAGCAGUUGACUUUUAAUCAAUUGGUCGCAGGUUCGAAUCCUGCACGACCCACCA
rnacentral:tRNA from 1 species